rnacentral:rRNA from 1 species
UGGCUCAGGACGAACGCUGGCGGCGUGCUUAACACAUGCAAGUCGAACGAUGAAGCCUUUCGGGGUGGAUUAGUGGCGAACGGGUGAGUAACACGUGGGCAAUCUGCCCUUCACUCUGGGACAAGCCCUGGAAACGGGGUCUAAUACCGGAUAACACUCUGUCCCGCAUGGGACGGGGUUAAAAGCUCCGGCGGUGAAGGAUGAGCCCGCGGCCUAUCAGCUUGUUGGUGGGGUAAUGGCCUACCAAGGCGACGACGGGUAGCCGGCCUGAGAGGGCGACCGGCCACACUGGGACUGAGACACGGCCCAGACUCCUACGGGAGGCAGCAGUGGGGAAUAUUGCACAAUGGGCGAAAGCCUGAUGCAGCGACGCCGCGUGAGGGAUGACGGCCUUCGGGUUGUAAACCUCUUUCAGCA